rnacentral:rRNA from 1 species
CGUGUAGGCGGACUCGCAAGUCGGUUGUGAAAUCCCUGGGCUCAACCUAGGAACUGCAUCCGAAACUGCUUGUCUUGAGUAAUGGAGGGGGUGGCGGAAUUCCCGGUGUAGAGGUGAAAUUCGUAGAUAUCGGGAGGAACAUCAGUGGCGAAGGCGGCCACCUGGACAUUUACUGACGCUGAGACGCGAAAGCGUGGGGAGCAAACAGGAUUAGAUACCCUGGUAGUCC